rnacentral:rRNA from 1 species
AUCAUNACCGAGUUAUACUCCAAACCCUUUGUGAACCUUACCAUUGUUAUGUUGCCUCGNNGGGGUUAGCCCCCAAAGCUUCUCCCGCCGGCAGCACUAAAUUCUUAAUUUUANAGCGGAUUAUACUUCUGAAUNCAAUACAAAACAAAUAAANACUUUCCACAACGGAUCUCUUGGUUCUGGCAUCGAUGAAGAACGCAGCGAAAUGCGAUAAGUAAUGUGAAUUGCAGAAUUCAGUGAAUCAUCGAAUCUUUGAACGCACAUUGCGCCCGGCAGUAAUCUGCCGGGCAUGCCUGUCCGAGCGUCAUUUCAACCCUCGAGCCUAAGUUUUUUAAACUGAAGGAUCGGUGUUGGGGCGCUACAGCGGUUCUUCGGAGCAGCUGUAGUGCCCUGAAAUACAGUGGCGGUCCCGCCGCGGCGCCUUCUGCGUAGUAAACUUACAGAUCGCAUUAGGUCCCGGCGAAGGCCAGCCGUCAAACCCUCUAUUUUUAGGU